rnacentral:rRNA from 1 species
AGUGAACGCUGGCGGUAGGCCUAACACACGCAAGUCGAACGGCAGCACAGAGGAGCUUGCUCCUUGGGUGGCGAGUGGCGGACGGGUGAGGAAUACAUCGGAAUCUACUCUGUCGUGGGGGAUAACGUAGGGAAACUUACGCUAAUACCGCAUACGACCUAAGGGUGAAAGCAGGGGAUCUUCGGACCUUGCGCGAUUGAAUGAGCCGAUGUCGGAUUAGCUAGUUGGCGGGGUAAAGGCCCACCAAGGCGACGAUCCGUAGCUGGUCUGAGAGGGUGAUCAGCCACACUGGAACUGAGACACGGUCCAGACUCCUACGGGAGGCAGCAGUGGGGAAUAUUGGACAAUGGGCGCAAGCCUGAUCCAGCCAUACCGCGUGGGUGAAGAAGGCCUUCGGGUUGUAAAGCCCUUUUGUUGGGAAAGAAAUCCAUCUGGUUAAUACCCGGGUGGGAUGACGGUACCCAAAGAAUAAGCACCGGCUAACUUCGUGCCAGCAGCCGCCGUAA